GCAUCUAUGGCAGAGUGGUCGAUUGCACCGGACUCAUAAUCCGGAUGGUAAAACACAUCGUUGGUUCAAAUCCGACUAGAUGCA
rnacentral:tRNA from 1 species